UAGUACUAGAGCCGUUUUACGCAAUCGAAUACCGCCGGAAGUAGAACAUUUAUGUCAACACCGGUUUCGUAUUUCACGUGAAAACAGCUGAAAACUGAGAGGUUAUCAACAAAUUAUUAAAUUACGGGUACCAUGAGGAUUUUUCAUGCAUUUAAACGACAGAAGUACAAGCCAACAAAUGAUACAUUACAGUGGCUGCAGAAGCUUGAAAAGUUACUUAGAGCAGGGGCAGUCAGAACAAUAGGAUGCUUCUAAUAGGUGUCCUACAUGUCUAAUCAGGUUGACAGAAGUGAAAGAUGGUCUAGUGGUACAAUGAUGUACGGAUGAAAAUCUUUAAUAAGUUUAACAUGUAGAAGGAAAUGUAAUGCCAGUUAUUAAAAUUACAUUCCCCUAAGCAUUUAACAGAUACACAGUGUAAAUGUAAUUAAAAUGAUUUUAUGUAAGUUUCAUGUAGGAUUGUACAGCCAACCAUUUUGAAUUAAGAACUUUUGAUUUAGGUAAAGAUAUCUAUUCAGACUUCUUAAAUCUUAGCCCUUCAGAUGAUAAAGGGAUAAAAGGUCUACUAUUACCAGCCACUGUCCAUGUUUCAAAGUUUUUAAACACACAAAGGCAAUAACCAUUUUGUUAAAAUAUCUUGUUAAUGCAAUGUUUUCUUGAUAUCUGUCACUUGAUGUUUUCAAUGGAUAAGAGUCCUAAUUUAAUGUAAAGUCUGCACUUUUCUGUAAUGGAAGUACAAAAUUUGUAGGAAGUUGUUUCUUUAUUUCAGUGUAAAAUGUUCUAUGGAUUCAUAUGAUGAGAAUGCCAGUGUUGAUUUGUAUGGUUUAAUUAAACACAGAU
rnacentral:lncRNA from 1 species